rnacentral:rRNA from 1 species
GACGAACGCUGGCGGCGUGCUUAACACAUGCAAGUCGAACGGAAAGGCCCUGCUUUUGUGGGGUGCUCGAGUGGCGAACGGGUGAGUAACACGUGAGUAACCUGCCCUUGACUUAGGGAUAACUUCAGGAAACUGGGGCUAAUACCGGAUAGGAGCUCCUGCUGCAUGGUGGGGGUUGGAAAGUUUCGGCGGUUGGGGAUGGACUCGCGGCUUAUCAGCUUGUUGGUGGGGUAGUGGCUUACCAAGGCUUUGACGGGUAGCCGGCCUGAGAGGGUGACCGGCCACAUUGGGACUGAGAUACGGCCCAGACUCCUACGGGAGGCAGCAGUGGGGAAUAUUGCACAAUGGGCGGAAGCCUGAUGCAGCAACGCCGCGUGCGGGAUGACGGCCUUCGGGUUGUAAACCGCUUUCGCCUGUGACGAAGCGUGAGUGACGGUAAUGGGUAAAGAAGCACCGGCUAACUACGU